rnacentral:rRNA from 1 species
AACGACUCUCGGCAACGGAUAUCUCGGCUCACGCAUCGAUGAAGAACGUAGCAAAAUGCGAUACUUGGUGUGAAUUGCAGAAUCCCGUGAACCAUCGAGUUUUUGAACGCAAGUUGCGCCCGAAGCCAUCCGGCCGAGGGCACGCCUGCCUGGGCGUCACGCA